rnacentral:sRNA from 1 species
AAAUAGCCCCGAUAGAAACGGUUACCCCGCAACACAGGUUAGAAAGGUGUAGGAAUUGAGCGUUGGAGCGCUAUGGCGUGAGGAGUAUGAGUGGAUAGCGGGAUUAAGC